rnacentral:rRNA from 1 species
UACGUAGGGUGCAGGCGUUAAUCGGAAUUACUGGGCGUAAAGCGUGCGCAGGCGGUUUCUUAAGUCAGAUGUGAAAGCCCCGGGCUUAACCUGGGAACUGCGUUUGAAACUGGGAGACUUGAGUGUGGCAGGAGGGGGGUGGAAUUCCGACGUGUAGCAGUGGAAAUGCGUAGAUAUGUGGAGGAACACCGAUGGCGGAAGGCAGCCCCCUGGGUUAACACUGACGCUCAUGCACGAAAGCGUGGGGAGCAAACAGGA